CCUUGGUCAGUCAAGUAACUCUUCUUUAAAACAACUCUUAACUUGGACGCACCAAUACAUCCACCUAACUUCACCACUCAAAGGAAGGUUGCAUCUAUCUCCUCCUCAUAGUCAUUGGACAUAUUAUCACUGAAAAUGUCACCAUGGCUUUGUUCCUUGAUGCAGAAAAGGAAAUAGGGAUUUAGGACUACCAUGUCUUCACCCAAAGCAAGUCAAGCAUGCCCUGAAUCUUGUUCCCACCUUCUUCCAUGCUCAAGUCAGAUCAUUCAAUAACACUGCUAUAUCUUGUCAGAAAUCUCAAUUAACAAUGGAAUUCAAUUGACAUUGACAGUUGAUUUUUCUUUUCUUAAUAGUCAACCCCACAUUCAGCUAAUAUGCUAAUUCCUGGCUCAAACUUAUCAAUAUCUAUUUAAAAGCAACCAAGUUCAUAUUCCCAUUGUUAUAUGAAAAAAAGGGGGACCUUACUUUACCAAUACUCGUUCAUAAAGCACAUGUGAUGGACAUUGCACGUGGGGUACAUGAUCAAUUCACCCAAAAAGAUCAAUUCUUCUCUAUCCUGCAACAAAAGAUCUCCGCUGCACAUCUUUGGUAGGCAUUUACUCAACCCUUAUUUCAAACAGCUAAUCAGCCUUUUUCUCAUUUGAUAGCACUAAACCUACCAAUACGAUUCCACUGGCACUGGCAAGAAUAACAAAUCUAAACACAUGCAACUUACUAUUAGUUCAUGAGCAAGGCUCUCUUUGAUACAACUGUUCCAAGCUAUUCAAAACUUUUAUUCCUAAGAGCUUUUACACAUGAGUACCUACUUGAGAAGGUUAUCAUGUCUUUCAGCACUUUUAUCUAUUUGAAAAUUUUCAUCACAAGCUGAUAUUUGAGCUACUCAAAAUAAAACUAAAUAAAACUACCAACAAUAAAACAGAAACUGAAAGCUAAAUUUCCAACAAACAAAUAAAUAAGUAAAUAAGAGCCAAACUUACUAAAAACAGCUACAUAUUAUCUAAGAUUCGAGAUCAUAAAAAAAAAAAAAUAGUGAUAAUAGAGCAAUUUUUUUUUUAAAUAUAAUGGUUUUUAAUCUUACCAGGUCUAUCUUCAACAGCAGAGCCGACACCACCACUAGAAUCUGAUUCAGGCUGAUUAUCCCUCGCAUCAUCACCGUCAAACGAAGCAAAACAAAUGAGUGCAUCUUCAAACCUCCUCCUGCUCCGCGAAACGCCGAAUCUCAGCUUCGAACUGCUGUUAACUUUCACACUAUUCAUUCGGUUUCUGAUUGGCUCGUGUCGUUUAGAGAAGCAGCCGUAACUUAGCCGCAAGUGAGCCAUGAGUGCCGUGCUCGUGCUUCCCAUUUUCUCGUCUAAUUUUCGUUUUCUGUUGUUUUUCUGAAAAUUGAACUAAACAACGUCUGAAAGUUGGUUCGUUUGAACCAAAAUCUGAAGCGCUAUUAUAUCAGUAUCACUGAAUGAACGGUUGGCUGCUAUCGCAUUUUUGCGAUAUUUGCAAAUUGGAACUAGAGAGGGGGGCGGGGCUCAUUUUAGCUGGAUACGCGGCGCUUUUCUAUUGGAGGCCGCUCGCACAUCGGGUUUUGUCUUUUUCGAUUUUGAUUUAAUGUUUUAUUAUAAAAUGUACUUAAGAUUAAAGAUGAACUAAGUCGACAUUCCACCAAUUGGAAGAGACAGGAUACUCAUAAAUUAGAAAAAAAAAAAAAAAAAAAAACUACCUUUGCCCUCAUGAAAAUGAAUUUUUAAUUAGUAGCAAAUAUAAAAUAUAUGUGUUUGUUGUUUGCGUGAUAUAUAAAAAAAAUAAAAAUCUUAUUUAUAUGACGACGACAUUUCUACGAGAACACAACAGUUAAUUGAAAGUGUUGCAAAAGUUGCGUCUUUAAUUUGCAAAUGGAAAAAUCUACAUAUAUAGUAUCUUCGUACUAUUUGUAAUUUUAAAAAUAUGUUCAAACUUAAAUUUUGAAAAAUAUUCUCUCACAGUUUGAAUCUUUAAAAUAUUUAUUCUUUUUAUUCACAUUAUUUUAUCAAACCAACUGAAAUACGAUAAAUAGAGAUUAGAGAGUAAGUGUUGAGGAUGAGUUUGGAAGUAAGAUAUUAUAACUUUUAAACUGAAAUUACUGUAAAAAUUUAUAGUAUAAAUAAAAAUUUUCAAAUAUUAUCAAAUACUUAAUAGUUAAAUUUUAACAAUCCAACUACUUCACCGCACUUUCAAAAGGGUGAGUAAUAAACUACUAACAACAUAAUUUUUUUAAUAAAUUAAAAGAAAGGAGGAGGUUAAUAAUCCCACGGUCAUCUUUACACAUGUUAUAUAAGCCCUACCGUACCCUCCACUCUCUCUCUUAAUUCCCGCCAUUUCUCUAAACCAAAGUGGCUCAGCGCCCCUCUUCGCCGAACCAAAAAAAAACACACAAACGCAACUGCACAGGCUUACAAAAUCAAAAUGGGAAAAGAAAAUCCAGCGGCAGAGAAAGCAUCAAAUCUGCUCCGAAGCAGGCUCUGUGACCCUAAUUUUGUUGUCAAGCACCUCUCCGACUCUCCCGACAGCAAUUACAGGUGCGAUUUCUCGUUCACUUCUUUCCAUUAUGAAAAAGGCAAACUUUAAAACUUAAAACAUUGUUAUCAUUGUUGUACGAUUUGAUAGAUGAGAAGAAGAACAUUAUUUUAAAAAAUUAAAUUUGCAGUAAGUUGAAGUUUUUAGUAUCCAGUUCGGUGACCGAGGCUUGCAACAACUCCAUUUUGCUUCUUGGUCCUCGUGGCUCUGGCAAGAUUGCGGUAAUAAUUUAAUUUUGUUAAAUUAUUAUUUCAGCUUUAUUGUGGAUUUUUUAAAUAGAUUACUGGUUUUAUUUUUCAUUUUUACAACAAUCAUCAUCAUUAUGGCAUCUAUUUUGAUUAUAGGUUUUGGGGCUCAUUCUCACAGAUUUGUUGUUAGAAUAUCCUGAUACAAUAUCUGUGGUAUGUUUUUUCUUUAAUUUCGGUUUCCUUUUUUUCUUAAUAUUUGAUUUUUGUGUAGAAUUAUAUUUAUUAUUUAUGGCAUAUGGAAGCAAAAUAGUUGUUGAUAAUGAUUCUUGUAAUUGUCCAUUUUGAUCUUAUUUUUCGUUGGUCAUGAUGUUGCAGAUCAAAUUGAAUGGGAUUUUGCACAGUGAUGACUGUUGUGCAUUCAAGGUAAGAUAUCCAAGUGGUCCUUUUCAUUUUUCACUCAAUGAGUUGUAUUUUGCAUUCCCAAAUGGUGCUGGUUAUACCCUGCUUGCUAUGCUACUGUUUCACUUAUUCCUUUUCAUGGUUAUUGUUCAUUCAGGAAAUCGCUAGACAGUUAUGCAUGGAGCAUCAAUUGUUGUUCUCUAAAAUGGUAGCACGGAUAAUUAAUUUGAGGUCAUUCUCAUGCAUCUUUGACCAAAAAUCUCAAAUUUCUUGAUGUUUUGAGAUGAUUUUUGCAGGCAUCAUUUGAUGAUAACUCCCAGUUCAUGAUAGAAAUGUUACGGUGAGUGUAUUAAUUUUCUUAAUGUUCUCUCCUACCCCUUUUAAGUAUAGUUUAAUUCAUGUCCAAUCUUUUCAAAAUGUUAAUGAAUUGUGUUCUCUGGCUGUCAGGGAGUGUGGGUUAGCACAUAAAACAAUUAUAUUUGUACUUGAUGAGUUUGACCUUUUUGCUCAGGUUUGAAUCUAUGAUCCUUUUUUCAAUCUCUUUCUAAUUGGUGGUUGUAUGUCAUGAUCAAUCGUUGGGUUCUUAGUAAAAUUGAUGACGAACCAUAUAGUUCACCUUUUAUUAAAAUAGUACUCAUGUAGAACAUUUCAAAUUAUUACAGUAAUAGUUUGAUCGUGGAAUCUCAGAUCAUGACAUUUCACUUUUCACAAUCUUUUACUUUGCAGGGAAAACAACGAUUACUUUAUAGCCUGUUAGAUGCGAUGCAAUCAGUAACAUCUCAAGCUGUUGUCAUCGGUGUGAGUUGCAGACUGGUAUGACCGUUUAAAGUUUCUUCUAUUUUGUCUUCAUUACCAACUAGACGCUUUUGUAUUCUAGUUCUUCAUGUUAUGAAUUCAAAGUUUGUAAUGGCAAAUGGAAGCCCUUGUCUGAAUUCUUACCAUUGGACUGGACCAAUUAUCACUUAAUAAGUCAUAGAACUACUGGCUGACCUGUCAGUCUGGAUCUAAUGUAUGCCAGAGCCAUAUGUGAUAUUAUGACUAAUUAUUAGUGAAGAAUCAUGUAUAAUGAGGGACAUAUCAUGCAGGAUGCUGACCAGCUUUUGGAAAAAAGAGUAAGAUCACGCUUUUCACAUAGAAAGCUGUUAUUUCUUCCUCCAUCCAAGGAAGAUAUGCAAAGGUAUAUUAUCAAUUUUCUGACACAGCCACUCUAGCUUCUGAUUAUGGUUACUUACCAUUAGUUUUGUUGCGACACAGAUUGUUGGAACACAUUUUGUCUUUGCCAGUCGACUCAAGCCUUCCUCAUGCCUAUGCUGUUGAAUUCAACAAAAAGAUUAAAGUAUCCUGCUUUCAAAAGUCUCUUAAGAAAGUACAGCAUAAUGCAGUCAUUUAGGAAGUUCAAUUUGUUUUCACCAGCGUAGAUGUAACUCACAUGUGAACAUAUUUAACACACGGAAAGCUGUUACAUGACUUAUGGACAAAGGAAUUCCAUUUUAAAGCGGUUGAAUUCCUCAAAUCACUAUAUUUUCAAUACUGUCAAAUGGGUGAAAUUUUGAUUAACAUUCUAUUUCUUUGCAAGGUUGGUUAUUUAUGCAUCAAAAGUUUAGAUAAUAGAUUAUUUUCAUACAUGUCCAAGAAUUGGUUCUGUCAGAAGCCCUUCACAUUUUACAGAAUAUUUUAGCAGAUGGGAGAUUCAAAGAAAUUGUUAAUACUCUAGUGAAUUUAGAUUCCACAGUCAACCACUUAUUGAGAUUUCUGUAAGUUCCUCUUCUUGCAUCUGGAAGCAUAGAAUGUUUUAUGAAUGGAUAGUGAUUUUCAUUUUUGGUUUUCUGAUGAACUUACUGUUUGACAUUAGAUUUCUUGCUGUUUCAUACAUGGAUUUGGAAUCUGGCUUCCUGUCAUUUGAGAACUUCAAGACUGCACUGUCGAAUUCUCACAGACAGCCAAAAUUGGAAUGUAUAAAAGGUCCGAGGAUCUAUGUACCAUUUCUCUAUUAUUUGUGUAAAUGUGUUCACGAUAGUUCCUCUGGUUGUUUGAAGUUGGACAUACUAAAGUUACAUUAAUGCACAUUUCAACUGUUCAAGCAGAUUGCUCCAUAUUAGAGCUCUAUAUUUUGGUAUGCACGAAGAGACUGGAAGUCAAAGAGCAAAACUCAUACAACUUCAAUUCUGUGAUGAAAGGUAACACUCAGAUUUUGUUGUGUUAGUUUUGUAUUACCUUUAUCGAAGUUUGUUAUGAGUUAGAAGUCUUGCAUCUGUUGCAGAGUACAAAAGCAUCCAUGAUUCCUUCCAGACAUCUGAUUAUUAUUCACGAAAUGUAUGCUUGCGGGUGUGUAUUGCUUUCCCUUAAAAUGAUUAUUGUAUUUAAUAUUAUACUGAAUCUAUACCCAAAUUAUCCAACAGCAUGGUUUGACUAUUUAUUGCUCCAACUGAUGCAGGCAUUUGAACACCUCCUACAACGUGAAUUAAUUUGUUUCACAGACAACAGAGGAUACAGUCAGUCUGUUGAAUUUCGUCCAGUGAAACUUCUAAUAUCUUCUAUUGAACUACAUCAGGGACUGAAAUCAUAUUGUUCGUGUCCUGUAAGUUAUUCUCACAGCAACGUAUGUCUGUUGGUACACAAGUUCAGAUGAUUUCAUGCUUAUUCUAGUAACUUGCAUUUUCUUUAUAGUUAAACUAAUAAUCCAUGGAUUGAUCCAGAAAAUGAUUUUAGACCUCACAAAAACCAUAUUUGCUUCCAUUUCUCGCAAAAAAAAUUUUCUGUGCUUCUUGAUCGUACAUUGGCCCUCCAGCCCUUGCGUUAAAGGUAUCUGUUAAAGUUGGUGAUCCAGGGCAUCAUUUUAAUCGUUAACUGUCAGGUUAUUCUUCUUAAACUAGUGGAGCGUUGAAAUCAAAUAUGCUGAGGAGCAUCCUUCAGAGCCAAGUUGCUGUUUCAUGUGUAUGAAAAGAGGAAAUCUGGAUUCUACCUCUGCUGUUUUCUUUCAGUGCAAGUCUAGCAAAUUUCCCGGAGGAGAUUUUCAUUUCUAUCCACUUUCUGUUGCGAAUAAGAUUUGCCCUUACAUAGUGGUUUUUGUUUCUCCCUCUUGUUGUUUAAUGUUUGUUGUUCCUAUAAAUGCAUCUUUGUCUAUAGUCAUUAAACUCUGUAGCUUAUUUUCGAGUCCAUUCUCCCUCUUGAGAUUUUCAAAAAGUACAUUUAAGUAUAGUAUUUGUAAACGGAACUUUUAUGUCAUAAUUCAUACCCAUCCCCCUACUUUAAAAAUAAAUAAAAUAAAAUAAAACACUUCUAUUUCAUAGAUAGAGUUCUUAAAUAAGCAACUUAUCAAUUUUACAAAGCAUUCAUUGAUAAGCGAGAUGUUCAAAGUAGUCAAAGUGAUUCCAACGAGCAUUAAUAAUUAGAUUUUUAAUACUUGUUAAUAAAUCAAAAGAAAUUCUAGAUUUGCAAACCAGUUCUUUACAAUUAUUUUUAAAAAAGUUUUUUAUUUAAUUAUUCUUUAAAUUAAAAAAGAAAGGUUUCCAGAUCCAAGCUUGUCAAAUCCGGGCAACGGAAGCUAACUAUCGGGUCGGGUUUCAACCCAAGGCGCUGCUUCCUGUUUGGACAAACGGUGCCUAAAUGCUCACCAUCUCUGAAAAUAAACCUCUCUCGUUGCGGCAGCUCACUUCUAAAACCCCGACUCUCUCUCAGAGCUUGGCCGCAAUGAUUCAGACACUGUCUUCGAAACCCAAAACCCACGUCGCUUAUCAUUCUUCAUAUCUUGUACUAUCCCUAUCAAUCCUUACCUAUCACUAAAACUUAAAAAAAAAAAGAUAAAUAAAAAAGCUUGCUCAAAAUUUUCAACAGACUUAUGUAUUUUCAUCUACUCAAUGACCCUCUGUAUACGAGCUUCAAAAGCUUUGUCCGCACAUUCGUAUCACUAUUUUUAUCUCAAGAAGGUACGUUUUUUCUUCCCCUUUUGUUUCUCUGUCCAUACCUAUCCAUCAAUUAGUGAAAGCAAUAACAAAGAUUCAGUCUUGAACCCUGAGAGUGAGAGCUAUUAUAAAGAGCUGAUUAUUAGUACUGUUGAGGAAAAGCCCUGGGCUUUUUGCAAUAACAGGUGGGUUUCAGAUCAUUUUCAGGCUGUAGUUUCUGAUCCUGAGUUGCUUGUUAGAGUUUUGAAUAGGAUUAGGGAGAAACCUAGGAUUGCGUUGAGAUUCUUUAGAUGGGUAGAGACUCAACCGGGUGUUAAACGUGACGAAUUUGUGUUUUGCACGAUUCUUGAGAUUCUUAUUGAGAGUGGUUUGUUGAGGUCUGCUUAUUGGGUUGUAGAGACUGUUGUUUGUGUUAAUAUGCAUGGAAUUCUUGAUGUGUUGAUUGGUGGGGGUUUAAGUUCGUGUGUUUCGAUCAAGAUUCUUGAUCUUUUGUUGUUGAUUUAUACUAAGAAGUCGAUGGUUGAGCAAUGCUUGUUGGUUUUUAAUAAGAUGUUGAGAAAUGGGUUGUUGCCUGAUGUUAAGAAUUGUAAUAGGAUUAUUAAGGUUCUUAGAGAUAAUGGUUUUUCAGUUAAAGCUAGGGAAGUUUAUAGGAUGAUGGGUGAGUUUGGGAUCAAGCCAAGUAUCGUCACAUAUAAUACGAUGUUGGAUUCAUUCUGUAAGGAAGGUGAAAUGCAAGAAGCAUUGGAACUCUUAUGGGAGAUGCAAGGGAGAGGGUGUUCUCCAAAUGGUGUUACUUAUAAUGUGUUGAUUACUGGGUUUUCGAGAAAUGGGGAAUUGGAGCAGGCUCGGGGACUUAUCAGGGACAUGUUGAAAUCGGGAUUAAAAGUGUCAGCACAUUCAUAUAACCCUAUAAUCUGUGGGUAUUCUGAAAAAGGUCUACUUGUUGAGGCAUUAAACCUUGAGGAAGAGAUGGUAACUAGAGGAGUUGCUCCAACACUGGCAACUUAUAAUAUUUUAAUAUAUGGCCUUUGCAAGUGGGGAAGAGUUACUGAUGCUAGACAUCGGUUUUUCGAGAUGUUGAGAAAGAAUGUGAUUCCAGAUAUUAUUUCAUACAACACACUUUUAUAUGGUUAUUGUAGGUCGGGAAACAUAGGGGAGGCAUUUCUGCUAUUUGACGAGUUAAGGUCUCGGAAUCUAGUUCCUACUGUUGUUACCUACAAUACACUUAUAGAUGGUCUUUGUCGAUAUGGGGACUUAGAGGUUGCUCAGCAGCUCAAAGAAAAUAUGAUCAACCAAGGGAUUCUCCCUGAUGUAAUUACUUAUACAAUUAUGGUAAAUGGAUCUUGCAAAAUGGGAAAUUUAUCAAUGGCAAGGGAAUUUUUCAAUGAGAUGUUGCGUAAGGGCUUGCAGCCAGACCGCUUUGCAUACACAACUCAAAUAGCAGGCGAACUGAAACUUGGUGACACAUCAGAGGCAUACCAGAAGAAUUGAAGAAACUCAAGCCUAGUUCGUGAGAUGAAGGAACUCAAGCCUAGUUCCUCUGACCAGAACAAUGAAGCUUCUCAUGAUGACUCUGCUAAAGCUGACAGUGAGCAUCAAGAGGAUGAUAAUUCCAGUUUGGAUGAGUUAGGCAACGACUUAUCAUCAGAAGAGAUGAAAGUAGCUCAAUUAGCAAUUGGGAUUGUGUCUGAUAUGCUUGUAGUCAUAAAGGAAUUAAUCCGCACAAUCACAGGUUUGCUUAAACAUGAAAAUCCAGAUGAUGGUGGUAAAUUUGUGGAUACUUUGGAAAGAUUAUUGAAGUUGUGUCAAGGAAUUGGUGUACAGAUUGAUGAACUCGGAGCCUCUCUUUACCCCCCUCAGGAGCUUUCUGUAAUUAAGGCAGCAUCAGUGAAAAUAUUAAGCAUGACUGAUGAACUGCAGAAGGAAGUAGAGAGUUUUAAUAGCUCUUCAGAAGCAUUCAUUCAGGCAUGUAAUGGUUUGAGGAGUUCGCUGAAACAAAUGGACUCUGAAGUUGAUUGUUUCAAUACAACUGAUUUGGAGGCCAAACUUCAGAAUGUUGCUAUAAGCAAUUAGAGAGAAACGAUUGCAGUGUGUAAUGUAAAAUCAAUCACCUGUUGCAGUGUCGUGUUAUUUCUUGUCGCAACAUUUGAUGUUGUCAAAUCUAGCAAGGAAACAAUACAAGGUUUCUGUUCCGCCUUCUGGACUUGAUGCAUACUUGUUGGAUGUACUUUGGUCAUGGUUUAUCUUGGGACAUCAAAGAAAAAAACGAGAUUCGUCAAUAAACUGCCAGAAGGGGAUCGCUAUUAUAAAGAUCAGGUUUCAAGUUUUGUGUUAAGAGUUUUCAAGUAUUUAACUCGUGUUAAAGAGUUUUUAAGAUUUCAAGAUUUCAACUUUCAAAUUGGAGUUUUUAAGUUGUGUGGGGUUUGUGAGCUCACUUGUAUAUGAUCCAAUCCCACCUAGAAAAGAGAUGAAUAGACUCUGAAGGGAGUAGUUUGUGGCUUGUAAUAAACUGCAGCAAAGUUUUGUUAUUAUAUGUUGCUGAAUUUGACAAGGCGAAAUCUAGUAAUUAAAGACUGUCGAUGGACAUGAUUCAAAUACUUCAUGGUCUUUCUUGUAUCCUGCUUUGUUUAGCGGAAAAUCAAUAGGUAUACAGACAAUUAAAUAUCAAUCACAUCACUGUCAUUGCAUCUAUAGAUAAAACACAUACAAUUAUGGUACAAAUCAAAUAGAUAAUUGAUGUGGAUGAUACUCAUUUCCUUUGUUAAGUUGUUACUUCUAUGUUACAUCUUCUGAGAAUAUACAAGAGUCAUGCGUGCCCUUCAAAUGCGCGGGCCGCUGCAAACAAAUUGGUUGAACUGAAAGCAGUGGAAAAAUCACUUAACGUCCUGUAAGCUUAACCAUCCAUGCACCACCAAAAUAAAGACCGAGAAGCGGUGCUGCUAGAAGCAUCUGAGUAACAGGAUCAGUUGACGGUGUAAGUACAGCAGCCGCGAUGACUGCCCCAACCACAACAUAUCGCCAGAUCGAUAACAUUUGGUCACUUGUCACUAACCCAACUUGUCCCAACAGAAGUUGUAUAACUGGAACCUGUAAGAGUCAAAUGAUAUGUUAAAUCAUAUUUCCUAUGGACAGUCUGAAAUGGACAAAGACUAAGAAAUAAGAUGUUCACAGGCAAAAUAAUGCAGGAAGCUUGUAUUGAAUAGUUCUUCAACUUCCAGGGUCAUCCCAGGGCUGAGAUUCAUUAUAACAAACUUGAAUAUAAAUUUCAACUGGAAUUUAAAGGGUAUGAACUACAGUCACAAAGUCUGACAGGGAGUUCAGUAUAUAAAUAUGAUUUGCAACCCAUAUAAUUGCUGAUUAAUAGGAAAACUUGACAUCCUUUAUUUUAGAAGAAAUGAGCCUGCAAAGAGAAUCUUCACCUGGAAAGACAAGCCUGUGCUGAACAUGAGCACAAGUACAAACUCAAAGUAUUGAUCAAUGGACCACAAAGACUCCACAACCCCUUCAGCAUAAUUAACAAAGAAAUUUAAGGCCGCUGGAGUUAGAACCCAGUAGGAGAAGGCAAUUCCAGCAUAGAAAAGUACUGAAGAGCCUAAAACGAUUGGCCCCAAGAACCUUCUCUCUGCUCUCGUAAGACCUGGGAGAACAAAGGCUAUUAUCUCAUAGAGAAUUACCGGGCUUCCCAAAAGAAGACCACAAUAUCCGGACACCUGCAGUACGCCACAAGAUAUUGUGUUUAACAGCCAAGUAAUUUGUUUCCAAAAGGAAGUCAAACAGUUUAAGAUUACAGGCACAGUAUAAUGUAUUAAAUUAAAGUGUUACAUUAAUUACAUAGGUAUAUUGUAUUGUGACUAAAGCAUGCAAUAUGGAAGAUGUUGAAGAAAAAGAUAUAUCAUUCAGAUUUACCUUUAAAGUUGUAAAGAAAAAUUCUCCAGGAGCUAACUGCAGAAAUCGUACACCCUCUGAUUUAACAGGAGCUUCAAGAAACAUUAUCAGCUCCUUGGAAUAUGCAAAGCAUCCCAAGAUAGCGGCUCCAACUGCUAAAACUGACACGAAUAUUCUCUGGCGCAGCUCUUCUAGAUGAUCAAAUAUACUCAUUUCUUUAUCAUCUGGGAGUAGCUCUUUAUCAGGGUACAGAAAAUUAUAAAGAGGACUUUCCACACCAUCUUGGUUUAGAUUUUCCAGUGUUUCAUCUUUUGGAAUAUCAGUCACAUCUAAGUUUUCAAUCAUAAAAGUGAUGUCAGAAUCUGACCUAGUUCACAUAGCAAUAUAUUUCCUGAAAUGAAAAUAAUGAAAACUACAUAAGAAAAUUACUUGCAUGUCAGAAUAACACAACUAGAAGUUAAGAUUUUAUACUAGCAUGUAAGAAGGAACAAAGUGUUUCAUAUGUAAAAUUCCAACUAUGGUAAACACCCAAAAUAAUUCGGUAUCAACAAUAAUUUCUAAAGGAAAAAUUCGUUGUCACAGACACUCCCAGAGCAUAAAGAACGUCAGCACGCUUAGUUCUAACAAACGGAACCCUUACUGCUCUAUGUUCACGUAAAUGCUGGAUGAUAUGGAUCACAUAUUAAGAGGUUUGGAGAAAUUGGAAUAUAUUUGCUGUAUUCAGUCCAACGAAUACAAUUAAUUCUAAGAACUCAAAACACAUCUCAUGUUCGCACAACCAUUACUUUUCAAGUAACUAGCAAAAUGAUGUGAAUUGUCAUAUGUGCCCAACCAAGCUGAAAAGCCAUCCCUGAGAAGACAAAGUGAUUUCUAUCAUAUGUGCUGGGAGCACACUUUUCGUAUUGCUUACUCUAGUGGUUCCAACGGGCAUAAAAAGAGAAAGAACUUUUAUAUAUAUAUAUUCCACAGUCUCUUUCCAGCCACCCAUAAUCAUACACCUUCAAGGAGCCAUAAGCAAUAUAUAAAGGAACUAACCGUAAUAAAUGAUCCACUCCGUCUUGCUUCCAAACUUUUGCUGCCACCUAUUUUAUAUCAACCUAAAUGACCCACAUUUUUCAGUUCAUGCUCACUUUAGCACUUUAGCCUUAGUUAAACUAAGCUCUUUCAUAGCUAUAUCGGCAUGUUGUUUUGCCGUUCGAAAGAUCUACAAAGUAAAACAUUCUGACAUUCUUAAGAUGAUUGGAAAAUGACUCAAGCACACUUCAUGGUCCUACCUUGGUCAGUCAAGUAACUCUUCUUUAAAACAACUCUUAACUUGGACGCACCAAUACAUCCACCUAACUUCACCACUCAAAGGAAGGUUGCAUCUAUCUCCUCCUCAUAGUCAUUGGACAUAUUAUCACUGAAAAUGUCACCAUGGCUUUGUUCCUUGAUGCAGAAAAGGAAAUAGGGAUUUAGGACUACCAUGUCUUC
rnacentral:lncRNA from 1 species